AUUGAACGCUGGCGGCAGGCCUAACACAUGCAAGUCGAACGAGUGGCGGACGGGUGAGUAAUGUCUGGGAAACUGCCCGAUGGAGGGGGAUAACUACUGGAAACGGUAGCUAAUACCGCAUACCAUCGGAUGUGCCCAGAUGGGAUUAGCUUGUAGGUGAGGUAACGGCUCACCUAGGCGACGAUCCCUAGCUGGUCUGAGAGGAUGACCAGCCACGCUGGAACUGAGAUACGGGCCAGACUCCUACGGGAGGGAGCGGGGGGGAAUAUUGCACAAUGGGGGCAAGCCGGAUGCAGCCAUGACGCGGGUAGUAAGAAGGACUUCGGGUUGUAAAGUACUUUCAGCGGGGAGGCGUUACCCGCAGAAGAAGCACCGGCUAACUCCGUGCCAGCAGCCGCGGUAAUAC
rnacentral:rRNA from 1 species